GCCCUUGUAGCUCAGUGGCAGAGGGUCUGCCUUGAAAGCAGAAGGUCCCAGGUUCAAUCCCUGCUGGUGGCC